rnacentral:rRNA from 1 species
AACGAACGCUGGCGGCAGGCUUAACACAUGCAAGUCGAGCGCAUCCUUCGGGGUGAGCGGCAGACGGGUGAGUAACGCGUGGGAAUCUACCUUUUGCUACGGAAUAGCUCCGGGAAACUGGAAUUAAUACCGUAUGUGCCCUUAGGGGGAAAGAUUUAUCGGCAAGGGAUGAGCCCGCGUUGGAUUAGCUAGUUGGUGGGGUAAAGGCCUACCAAGGCGAUGAUCCAUAGCUGGUCUGAGAGGAUGCUCAGCCACAUUGGGACUGAGACACGGCCCAAACUCCUACGGGAGGCAGCAGUGGGGAAUAUUGGACGAUGGGCGCAAGCCUGAUCCAGCCAUGCCGCGUGAGUGAUGAAGGCCUUAGGGUUGUAAAGCUCUUUCACCGGAGAAGAUAAUGACGGUAUCCGGAGAAGAAGCCCCGGCUAACUUCGUG